UAGUAAUCGCAGAUCAGCAUGCUGCGGUGAAUACGUUCCCGGGCCUUGUACACACCGCCCGUCACACCAUGAGAGUCGAUAACACCCGAAGCCUGUAGUCUAACCAUAAGGAGGACGCAGUCGAAGGUGGGAUUGAUAAUUAGGGUGAAGUCGUAACAAGGUAUC
rnacentral:rRNA from 1 species